AACGCUGGCGGCGUGCUUAACACAUGCAAGUCGAACGAGAAUCUGUGGAAAGAGGAUUCGUCCAAUUGAAGCAGAGGACAGUGGCGGACGGGUGAGUAACGCGUGAGGAACCUACCUUUCAGAGGGGACAACAGUUGGAAACGACUGCUAAUACCGCAUAACAUAUAGAUGUCGCAUGGCAUUUAUAUCAAAGAUUUAUCGCUGAAAGAUGGCCUCGCGUCUGAUUAGCUAGUUGGUGAGGUAACGGCCCACCAAGGCGACGAUCAGUAGCCGGACUGAGAGGUUGAACGGCCACAUUGGGACUGAGAUACGGCCCAGACUCCUACGGGAGGCAGCAGUGGGGAAUAUUGGGCAAUGGGCGCAAGCCUGACCCAGCAACGCCGCGUGAAGGAAGAAGGCUUUCGGGUUGUAAACUUCUUUUGUCAGGGACGAGUAGAAGACGGUACCUGACGAAUAAGCCACGGCUAACUACGUG
rnacentral:rRNA from 1 species